UACGUAGGGUGCGAGCGUUGUCCGGAAUUAUUGGGCGUAAAGGGCUCGUAGGCGGUUUGUCGCGUCGGGAGUGAAAACACUGGGCUUAACUCAGUGCUUGCUUCCAAUACGGGCAGACUAGAGGUAUGCAGGGGAGAACGGAAUUCCUGGUGUAGCGGUGAAAUGCGCAGAUAUCAGGAGGAACACCGGUGGCGAAGGCGGUUCUCUGGGCAUGACCUGACGCUGAGGAGCGAAAGCAUGGGGAGCGAACAGG
rnacentral:rRNA from 1 species